UAACGGCCGUACCAUGCGGAAUAUACCGGUUCUCGUUGGAUCACUGAAGUCAAGCAUCAUUGGGCGUGGUCAGUACUUGGGUGGGGGGGCCACCUGGGAACACCGCGUGCCGUU